CCCUUAGAUGUCCUGGGCUGCACGUGCGCUACACUGAUGUGUCCAGUAAGCACCUAACCUCUUCCGAAAGGAACGGGUAACCUUUGCAAAGCACAUCGUGAUGGGGAUAGAUUAUUGCAAUUAUUAGUCUUGAACGAGGAAUUCCUAGUAAGCACAAGUCAUCAGCUUGUGUUGAUUACGUCCCUGCCCUUUGUACACACCGCCCGUCGCUCCUACCGAUUGAAUGUUCCGGUGAGCUCUUCGGACUGCGCGGUCUGCAGUUUCUGCGUUCCGUGCGGAAAGUUGCGCAAACCUUAACAUUUAGAGGAAGGAGAAGUCGUAACA
rnacentral:rRNA from 1 species